rnacentral:rRNA from 1 species
ACGCUGGCGGCAUGCCUUAACAUGCAAGUCGAACGGCAGCGCGUACUUCCUUCUGGCGGCGAGUGUCGAACGGGUAAGGUAAUACAUCCGAACGUGCCCUGUGUGUGGGGGAUAACUAAUCCAACGAUUAACUAAUACCUCAUACCACCUGCAUGGUGUUUGUGGGGGACCGCAAGGCCUCAACGGCGCAGGAUCGGCCGAUGUCUGAUUAGCUCUUUGGUGGGGUAAAGGCCCGCCGGGGCAACGAUCUAUAGCUGGUCUGAUACGACGAUCACCCGCACUGGGACUGAGACACGGCCCAAACUCCUACCGGAGGCAACUCUGGGGAAUUUUGGACAAUGGGGGCCACCCUGAUCGAGCAAUGCCGCGUGUGUGAAGAAGGCCUUCGGAUUGUAAAGCACUUUUGUCCGGAAAGAAAACGCUGUGGUUAAAACCUGGGGCGGAUGACGGUACCGGAAAAAAAAGCACCGGCUAACUACGUGCCAGCAGCCGCGGUAAUACGUAGGGUGCGAGCGUUAAUCGGAAUUACUGGGCGUAAAGCGUGCGCAGGCGGUUUUGUAAGACAGGUGUGAAAUCCCCAAGCUUAACUUGGGAAUUGCUCUUGUGACUGCCAGGCUAGAGUAUGUCAAAGGGGGGGAAAAUUCCACUUGUACCAUUAAAUGGCUUAAAGAUGUGAAGAACUACCGAGGGCAAAGGCACCCCCCUGGGAGGUCACUGACCCUAAUGCACAAAAGCGGGGGGAGCAAACAGGAUUAGAUACCCUGGUAUUCCACCCCCUAAACAAUGUCGACUAGUUGUUGGGGAUUCAUUUUCUCAGUAGCGUAACUAACGCGUGAAGUUAACCGCCUGGGGAAUACGGGCCCAAAAAUAAAACUCAAAGGAAUUGAAGGGGAACCCCACAAGCGGUGGAAGAUGUGGAUUAAUUCCAUGCCACCCGAAAAACCUUACCUACGCUUGACAUGCCACUAAACAAGCAUAGAUACAUUACGUGCCCUAAAGGCAAAGUAGACACGUGUGCUGCGUGUCUGUCCUCAUCUCGUGUCGUGAGAUGUUGGGUUAACUCGCACCACGAGCGCACCUCUUGUCUCUAGUUGCUACGAAAGGCCACUUUAGCGAGACUGCCGGUGACAAACCGGAGGAAGGUGGGGAGGACGUCAAGUCUUCAUGGCCCUUAUGCGUAGGGCUCCCCACUUCAUCCAAUGGUGGGUCCACAGGGUUGCCAACCCGCGAUGGGGGAGCUAAUCCCAAAAAACACAUCGUAGUCCGGAUCUUAGUCUGCAACUCGCCUACUUGAAGUUGGAAUCGCUAGUAAUCGCGGAUCAGCAUGCCGCGGUGAAUACGUUCCCGGGUCUUGUACACACCGCCCGUCACACCAUGGGAGUGGGUUUUGCCAGAAGUAGUUAGCCUAACCGCAAGGAGCCAGAUUACCACAGGUGGGGUUCAUGACUGGGGUGAAGUCGUAACAAGGUAGCCGUAUCG